rnacentral:lncRNA from 1 species
AGCAGAUUCAUUUAGAGUUUUUCAUUUCAACUUUUACCUUCAGUGAUUUAGAAAUGUACGGAGUGUUUUCUGCUUCUCCACUUUUAGGACUUAAGAAGCUCUACUUAGAGAUCAAAGAGGUGGACUACACUAAUAAGCAGGAGGAGAGGAGAUAGGAAAUGAAUAAUUAAGAUGGAUUUAUCAGAAACAAGGAGAUCAUAUUGAAAUGUAUUCCUGGAGCACCGGGGCUUCACUGACCUCUCUGCUGUGGCUGGAGUCAAUGGUGAUUUCGCAUCACAGCACACCAAGGUUUUUAACCUCAACUGAGACCUCAAGACCAUCCUGCAGUUGUCAUGUUCCUGGUCAAUCUCUACUUUAGGAGCUGUACUCAUUCUCAGUCUAGCACUGGAACUGAUCCUGAUGUUUUUCCUACUAAAACUGAAAGGGAUCUGAUGAUGGAAAGUAAACACCUGGGAACUUUUCAGCUCAACAUAUUUGCGGCCCUGAGACUGCCAAGAUUCUUCACUGUGAAAGUUCUCCAAGGAUUAGCCUAUUCCUGUUCUCCCUGUUCCACACAUAAAUAUUAA